rnacentral:rRNA from 2 species
UCUGAAUGGAAGGGCCAUCGCUCAACGGAUAAAAGGUACUCCGGGGAUAACAGGCUGAUACCGCCCAAGAGUUCAUAUCGACGGCGGUGUUUGGCACCUCGAUGUCGGCUCAUCACAUCCUGGGGCUGAAGUAGGUCCCAAGGGUAUGGCUGUUCGCCAUUUAAAGUGGUACGCGAGCUGGGUUUAGAACGUCGUGAGACAGUUCGGUCCCUAUCUGCCGUGGGCGCUGGAGAACUGAGGGGGGCUGCUCCUAGUACGAGAGGACCGGAGUGGACGCAUCACUGGUGUUCGGGUUGUCAUGCCAAUGGCACUGCCCGGUAGCUAAAUGCGGAAGAGAUAAGUGCUGAAAGCAUCUAAGCACGAAACUUGCCCCGAGAUGAGUUCUCCCUGAGACUUUAGGUCUCCUGAAGGAACGUUGAAGACGACGACGUUGAUAGGCCGGGUGUGUAAGCGCAGCGAUGCGUUGAGCUAACCGGUACUAAUGAACCGUGAGGCUUAACCUUACAACGCCGAAG